UCUCUCUCUGUUCCUCUUUCUCUCUCUCUGAGUCUCUCUCUCUCUCUCUCUCUCUGUCUCUCUCUGCCCAAUGACUGUCAUCCUUGAUCAGCCAAAUCACAGUUAAUAAAGAUCUUCAGAUUGAAACAGAUUCAAGUGAAGUGGAUGUAAUGAAACAAGCAAUAGUGAUCUGCAUCGGUACACACUGAGGAUUCGCUGGACCACACAUCUUAGUCAAACUCAUCUUUGCUCCCCGAUGCUGGGCGUUGUCAUGGACACACAUCUUAGGCAAACUCAUCUUUGCUCCCCGAAGCUGGGCGUUGUCAUGGACACACAUCUUAGGCAAACUCAUCUUUGCUCCCCGAUGCUGAGUGUUGUCAUGGACACACAUCGUCAUGGACACAUCUUAGUCAAACUCAUCUUUGCUCCCCGAUGCUGGGUGUUGUUGUCAUGGACACACAUCUUAGUCAAACUCAUCUUUGCUCCCCGAUGCUGGGUGUUGUCAUGGCAAACUCAUCUUUGCUCCCCGAUGCUGGGUGUUGUCAUGGAUUCUGGGUUCUGCUGUCGUUACUGCCCUGCGGAGAAAAGAACUGUGAAGGCAACUGUGUCAACAUUCACUUUGUCAUCUUCAAGAAUCAGGGUGACUGAUCUGGUGGAAAGUCGUAUUUAAGAUGCUGUUCCGAAGUUCCAAGGCAUCUCUAUAGAGGAGCUUGACUAGCAUUACACUUGAUUAGCAUCACAGAGCGCUAACUUCAGGGCUGCCUCCACACCUGGCUAUCGGAGGGGACAGCCCCAGAUGAUCAGCACCAGGUGACAGUAAAUGGCUAUCAGAGGGAACAGCACCAGGUGAUAGUGAAUGGCUAUCAGAGGGGACAUCACCAGGUGAUAGUGAAUGGACAGUCUUUCCCUCAACCCAGUGCCCAUGCUAAUCCGUCAAUCAGUGCUCAAUGUUUCUUGUAGGUCUGCUAAGCUGCUAACAGCAGCAGGUGUGUGGGUUUGAAUACUAUGGCGUAUACAUACUGAUAUAAUGUGUGUAGGUUCAGCUAGAUGCAUCUCCUGUGUGAAUAAAUAUAAAUAUAAAUAACUCCAAGGCGACGUAUGAAGAUGAAAUGUUGUUGUUCCUUUACAGAAAGCUGAGAGUGCAGACAAUGAAAGCGAGGGUCCUGAUUGGCUGAAUGCUAGUUCCCACUGACAUCACAGACAUUGUAACAGCACGGGUGGUAUAACCUUUCCUUCAACCAAUCAGAGCCCACCACUGGUGCCCCGUGUCGUUGCUUUAGACGCAUCCCCCAGUAAAGACCCAUUUGGAUGCAGCCCAGUAAUGUUCAGGUCCAGCCUCGGAGUCCACACGUGUCCCUCUUAGCCAUCCAUACAAACACACACACGCCCACCUUCGCUGCUCUGGCAACCAAUCAAAUCCUCUCACACGAGUCACCCAGCCAGUAGACAUGUAGCCAGCGGGUGGUCUUGUUUUAAAUGCUGCUGUGACCCAGUACAUGUGCUGACUGGGCAUAUGUAGCCAUUGUCUCGAUGGUUACCUUGCACACACACACACACAGCAGGUCGCUGGGGAAACGCCACAAUGCAGACACUGCUCCUGCAGGCCACCACGGGGCACUGUUGUAAACAUGGGAUACAGUACAGCAUUCUACCUUCUUUCACACUAAAUCACAAGUGUAAUUCUCACACUGAAGUAUGAAAAGUGUAUAUUUGCGUAAUAGUACUACUACUACUACUACUUCUACUACUACUACUACUACUGUUAUUUUUACAGCUGAUGUCUUGAAUAUAUUCCAACAGAUGUUAUGUGCUACUGUGGCAGCUAAACGUUCUGUAUGUGUGUAUGUAUGUACGUACGGAUGUAUGUGUGUAUUUUAUGCCAAGUGUGAGACAAUGCUGACAAAUCAAGUCUUCAUUUUCUUUUGGUUAUUUAAAUGUCAUGUAUGAAACACAACUAAGUAAAAUUGUUUUUAGAUUAAAAAUCAA